rnacentral:rRNA from 1 species
GAUGAACGCUGGCGGCGUGCCUAAUACAUGCAAGUCGAGCGAACAGACGAGGACCUUGCUCCUCUGACGUUAGAGGCGGACGUGUGAGUAACACGUGGAUAACCUACCUUUAAGAUAGGGACAACAUCGGGAAACUGGUGCUAAUACCGGAUAACACCUUCAACCGCAUGGUUUAAAAAUGACAGACGGUUUUGCAUUCACUCAUAGAUGGACCCGUGCUGCAUUAGCUAGUUGGUAAGGAAACGGGUUACCAAGGCGGCGAUGCGUAGCCGACCGGAGAGGGUGGUCGGCCACACGGGAACGUGAACACGGUCCAUGCUCCUGCGGGAGGCAGCAGAAGGGAACCUUCCGCAAUGGGCGAAAGCCUUGCGGAGCAACGCCGCGUGAGUGAUAAAGGUCUUCGGUUCGUAAAGCUCUGUUAUUAGGGAAAAACAAAUUUGUAAGUAAAUGUGCACGUCGUGACGGUACCUAAUCAGAAAGCCACGGCUAACUACGUG